rnacentral:lncRNA from 1 species
GUUGUUGGCAUGGCACGGGUUGUGUUCUUCUCAUAUAUGUUAUGAUGGUAUGAUACUAAACCCCUAACGGGAGGGAUUGUGCCUGAUAUGCAUAUGAUGAAGACAUAAUCUUUCAAUCAGUGUAAUUGAAGUCUGGAGCUGGCAUGUCAGUUAACUGCUAGUAGUCUGUUGUUAUUUAUGUAUUAUUAUCAUUUUGUUUAUUUUCUU